GCCAGGCAUGGUGGCUGUAGUCCCAGCUAUGCGGCUGAGGUGGGAGGAUCACUUCAGCCCAGGAGUUCUGGGCUGUAGUGCACUAUGCCGACCGGGUGACUGCACUAAGUUUGGCAUCAACAUGGUGACCUCCUGGGAGUGGGGGAUCACCAGGUUGCCUAAGGAGAGGUGAACUGGCCCAGGUUGGAAAUGGAGCAAGUCAACACUCCCAUGCUGAUCACGCCUGUGACUAGCCACGGCACUCCAGCCUGGGCAACAUAGUGAGGCCACAUGUCUA
ensembl:misc_RNA Metazoa_SRP Metazoan signal recognition particle RNA